UUCGUAUUUUGUCGCUACUUUUGUCAUUUUACCGGACUGUUGUAAAGAGGUGAU
rnacentral:lncRNA from 1 species